rnacentral:rRNA from 1 species
CCUGCCCCAUACACCGGAAUAGCUCCUGGAAACGGGUGGUAAUGCCGGAUGCUCCAGUUGAUCGCAUGGUCUUCUGGGAAAGCUUUCGCGGUAUGGGAUGGGGUCGCGUCCUAUCAGCUUGACGGCGGGGUAACGGCCCACCGUGGCUUCGACGGGUAGCCGGCCUGAGAGGGCGACCGGCCACAUUGGGACUGAGAUACGGCCCAGACUCCUACGGGAGGCAGCAGUGGGGAAUAUUGCACAAUGGGCGCAAGCCUGAUGCAGCGACGCCGCGUGAGGGAUGGAGGCCUUCGGGUUGUAAACCUCUUUUAUCGGGGAGCAAGCGAGAGUGAGUUUACCCGUUGAAUAAGCACCGGCUAACUACGUGCCAGCAGCCGCGGUAAUACGUAGGGUGCAAGCGUUAUCCGGAAUUAUUGGGCGUAAAGGGCUCGUAAGCGGUUCGUCGCGUCCGGUGUGAAAG